CAUUCGGCAGCCGAGCAAUACGGACGCGGAGUGUCUGUCGACUCGUGAAGUGUUAAGAAGUACUGAGUCUGUUUAAAUUCGGAGAAGCGCGGUGUUUUCAGUGUUCGUAACCGUAGGAAACUAGACAGAUAUUCAAAUAUGGCCGAUCAGGAGAACAAGGACUUCAGCGAGGACGUGGCCGACCAAAGCUUCGAGCAGAACGGUGAGGCCGAAAACGGCGGCGGCGACGCCGCGGAAAAUGGCCAGGAGUCUCAGGAAGAAAGGUCGGCCGGAGGUAACCAGGAGUCUCUGAAUGAUAGGAAAUUGUUUGUUGGGGGCCUUAGCUGGGAAACCACAGAUAAGGAGCUGAGGGAUCAUUUUGGUACAUACGGUGAUAUAGAAAGUAUCAAUGUCAAGACAGAUUCCAUUACUGGAAGAUCACGAGGUUUUGCAUUUAUCGUUUUCGCCAAGGCGGAAUCACUCGAUAAGAUUAUGGCUGCUGGUGAUCACGUUAUUAAUAAUAAGAAAGUCGACCCGAAGAAAGCUAAGGCUCGACAUGGCAAAAUAUUCGUUGGAGGGCUAUCGACAGAGUUGUCUGACGAUGACAUUAAAAAUUUCUUCUCUCAGUUUGGAACGAUAGUCGACGUUGAAAUGCCGUUUGACAAGACAAAGAACCAGAGGAAAGGGUUCUGCUUCAUUACUUUUGAAUCAGAACAGGUUGUGAACGAGCUCCUUAAAACCUCGAAACAAACGAUUAACGGCAAAGAGGUCGACGUGAAAAAGGCAACGCCGAAGCCGGACGGAAUGGGUGGCAUGCGAGGUGGUGCUGGUGGUCGAGGUGGACGCGGAGGUCGCGGAGGACGAGGUCGAGGAUUUGGCGGCCAAGGCGGCUGGGGCCAAGGGGGUUACGGAGGUGGUUAUGGACAAGGAGGCUAUGGAGGCGGUUACGACGGUUACGGAGCCGCCGGAUACGACUACUAUGGUGGCGGAUACGGCGGCUACGGAGGGUACGACUACAGCGGAUACGACGGCUACGGCUAUGGCAGUGGUAGUUACGAUGGUGGCUACAGUGGUGGGCGCGGUGGUGCACGCGGUAAAGGAGGCUCAGGCUACGGCGGCAAGCAGCGAGGUGGUGGUCGCCAGAACCAAAGGCACCAACCCUAUUAAAAAAUGGGAUUCCUUAAUUGCGACCGCAAUGCAAUUUGCAUUGUAACCGCUGGUUUCCCGUCCUAUAACAAAUCUCAUAACUCGUCAAAUCAUCAUUCCAUUAAACCUCCUCACCCUCAGCAAGAACUACGACAACGCAGACAACUGCCGCAGAGCAAACUCAGUCAUCGAGAUUCACAAGAAAUGCAGU
rnacentral:misc_RNA from 1 species